CUCCAGACUCCUACGGGAGGCAGCAGUGAGGAAUAUUGGUCAAUGGGCUUACGCCUGAACCAGCCAAGUCGCGUGAGGGAAGACUGCCCUACGGGUUGUAAACUUCUUUUGUCAGGGAGCAAUUGGGUCCACGCGUGGGCUUAGCGAGAGUACCUGAAGAAAAAGCAUCGGCUAACUCCGUGCCAGCAGCCGCGGUAAUACGGAGGAUGCGAGCGUUAUCCGGAUUUAUUGGGUUUAAAGGGUGCGUAGGCGGAGUGUCAAGUCAGCGGUAAAAUUUCGGGGCUCAACCCCGUCGUGCCGUUGAAACUGACACCCUUGAGUGAGUGAGAAGUAAGCGGAAUGCGUGGUGUAGCGGUGAAAUGCAUAGAUAUCACGCAGAACGCCGAUUGCGAAGGCAGCUUACCGGCGCUCAACUGACGCUGAGGCACGAAAGUGCGGGUAUCGAACAGGAUUAGAUACCCCAGUAGG
rnacentral:rRNA from 1 species